UCCACAGUAAUAAAGAAUCAAGAAACAGAUAUUUUUUCAAUUUCUUCCCAUUACAUUUUAUGUCCACAUUUAGAUGUAUCUGGGAAGAUCUCUAAACUGACACCACUGUGAGAGGCCCCUGGGAUUCACAAAUAUCAUUUCCAUGACACUCAGAAAACUGGGGGAAAAGAGGAAAAUGUGAGCGGCGAUAAAUUGGAGCUAAUCUCUUUCUGCCACAACCUGAAAUGAUACUUGCCCAGGUAAUCUCCCCAUCCUCCAUGCUGUAAUAAGAGCUUGUCUAUCUCUCCCAGAUGCCCAACCUGAGUACUGGUAUCUCCCCCAAAUGCUUGUACUAGAAAUUUCCUAACAGGAUUCCAAGGCUCUGAAAGAAAAGAAAAAUGAA
rnacentral:lncRNA from 1 species